rnacentral:tRNA from 2 species
CGGGGUGUGGCGCAGUCUGGUUAGCGUGCUACCUUGGGGUGGUAGAGGCCGUGGGUUCGAAUCCCGCCACUCCGACCA